ensembl:rRNA 5S_rRNA 5S ribosomal RNA
GUCAAUGGCCAUGCCACCCUGAAUGCACCUGAUCUUGGAACCUAAGCAGGGUCAGGUCUGGUUAGUACUUGGGUGGGAGAAGUUGUGGAUGCUCAAGAUACAUGAUA